GAGAUAGCCUUCACAAGUAGGGAUCUGUGUGCAAACACACCCAGCAACAGAACUUUUGUCGAAACGAGUAUUAUCGCAAAAAUGUACUAUCACGGGGAAUACCCAAACGAAUACAUUGCGCAACGACGUAAAAUUGUAUUGAGCUUAACAGACAGUUGAUAAGAUGACAUCUCUUUAGACUUUGGUAAUCAGCGUGAAUCCGAAGAUCAAAGGAAGGAAAUCCGAGAUUCAUCUCUGGCCAUGACAUUCUGUCUCAAUUCGGGCGGGAUAAAAAAAAAAAUCAUCUGUACCCAGCCGUUCCAGCAAAUAAUAUUUGCAUCCUUGCCACGGAAGACACAGUUGUUAGGUAUUUCUACUAAUUCUAGACGAAAUUUGACUAUUUGAGUUUCAUUGUACGUAUGUUGAGUAAGUUCAACUUCUUCGAGUUCCGGUGACUUGACACUCGCCGAGCCCUUCGCAGAUCCUUGAUCUACUAACCUUUGGGGGCUACUUCAUAACUAAAGAGUGGUUUCAAAAUUAUCAAAAUGUUUUUCAUAAAGUAGCUUAUUGACAAAAUGGCAUGUAGAAGGAACCGGAAUCCGAAGGAAC